GCUGGGUGCAGUGGCGCACACCUGUAAUCCCAGUGGUUUGGGAGGCUGAGGCAGGAGGACCUGGAGCUCAAAGCCAGCUUCCACAAAAGGGAAGCACUAAGCAACUCAAUGAGACCCUGUCUCAC
rnacentral:sRNA from 1 species